GCCCGUUUGGCUCAGCGGUAGAGCGUGUCACUAGUACUGACAGGAUAAUUGUCUCUACUGGGUAAUGACAAGGUCGUCAGUUCGACUCUGGCAAUGGGCA